AUUAUUGACAACAAACAUGUCUUGUACAGUUUCUCACUGUAAAAAUUGUCAACGAUUUCGUUCAGAAGGUGUAUCUUUUCAUCAGUUUCCGAAAGAUCGAAAACUUUUAAAAAAGUGGCUGAUUGUUGUGAAAAAAGAUGACAGCUUCAAACUGACUAAGUAUAAGCUGGUGUGCUCAGAUCAUUUCACAACAACUGAUUUCAUUGUUGUAAAUGAGUGAAAACGAUUGAAAUCGAACGCAAUUCCCAGUGUGAAUUUAGAUGAAAGUCUAGAAGCUUCUUCAACUUCAAUGAGUACUGUGAGUGCUACUUCAGCUGAUAUUUGAGAAGAGUCUCCAUCGAUUAUACCUCAAGGUGUAAAGAGGACAUUAAGUGCUGCGCAGAGAUACCAUGGAAAAAGCAGUAGCAGUACAAGUGGAAGUAAAAGCAAGAACUCAAAAAGUAGUUCUGACAGUAGGGAAGGUGAUAAGCUGGCGUUACAUAAAGAAACUACAUGAAUUACAAAAUGAUGAAUUCCUAAAUGUUGCAAAUAAGUUGAAAAAGGCACAUUUGGAGUGAUGGAAACAUAAAAUGAAAGUGAGUUUAGCAGCACAAACUCUUAGCAAGAGUUGCGGAUGCACUUGAAUUUUUAAAACAUCUUGGUAUUAGUGACUUUCAAGGUUGUGAAACAACAAUAGAAUUCAUCAGAAGGAUAGAUUCUUUAUUUGAUAUUCUCAAUUCCUGAAGUGUACGUGCUAGAAUUUUAAGGCACCUUUGAGAGAAAACAAUGAAGAAAUGUGGCGUCCAUUUCUCAUCGACACCAGUGAGUAUCUUCUGAAUUUGAAGGAUGUCACUGGCGGGCCUUUGUGGUGCACGCCCCGAAAAACGUCAAUUCUGGGCUUUGUUAUUUCCGCUACGUCGUUCAUGGGAAUUUUUGAUGAAUUUGUUAGUAGUAAGAGGUUGAAUGACUUGCUAACAUAAAUGUAGUCAAGAUCAUCUAGAAAUUUUCUUCUGCUCAGUGCGGUAAGCUUUUAAAAAAACAAUUGUAUUACUUUUUUAUGCACUGGAAUUACACAAAUCUGUAUUUAUUUUUCUGUUUUCAGAUCGAGAAAUGGGUGAAACAAUAACCCUACUCCUCUACGAUUUUGUAAAACUUAGAAGAUUGCUUCUAUUUACAAACAUAACGAGGGAAGGAGGAAAUUGUAAAGUGCUUUGCACCACCUGUCUGCUCUCUGUUAGCAUUGGCCCAAAGCAAAAGAGCACAAAUGUUCAACAAUCAGUUGACGUGUUUGUCUUGAAAAAAUAUGAUCUCGAUAUUUUGACUGAAGCACUUGCAGAUCAUGACUAUGAACGUCUAAUUUUAUUGGGCAGAGUGAAGUGGCAGAAAACGUGGCAUAUAUUGGUAGCUAUGUUGUCAAAAUGCUGGUGAAGACGUUUAAGUGCGCAGACUGCAUUUCUUCUUGCAUUGAAACACGAGGAAGUGACUUACAGUUUUACAGAUUAUUGGACAAAAAAAACAUGGGUGGGCUUAUUAAACCUUUUGCUGGGGUUGUGAAGACUUGUUGUUACUGUUAAUACGAAAAAUUUUGCAACUCACCGAUAAACUUCCAAG